GAUGAACGCUGACAGAAUGCUUAACACAUGCAAGUCGAUUCGAUUUACCUUCGGGUAUUGAGGAUGGCGGACGGGUGAGUAACGCGUAAGGAACUUGCCUCUUGGUCUGGGACAACUGUUGGAAACGACAGCUAAUACCGGAUAUUAUGAGAUUCUCGCAUGGGAAACUUAUGAAAGCUAUAUGCGCCAAGAGAGAGCCUUGCGUUCCAUUAGCUAGUUGGUGGGGUAACGGCCCACCAAGGCGACGAUGGAUAGCCGGCCUGAGAGGGUGAACGGCCACAAGGGGACUGAGACACGGCCCUUACUCCUACGGGAGGCAGCAGUGGGGAAUAUUGGACAAUGGGCCACAAGCCUGAUCCAGCAAUUCUGUGUGCACGAUGAAGGUCUUCGGAUUGUAAAGUGCUUUCAGUUGGGAAGAAGAAAGUGACGGUACCAACAGAAGAAGCGACGGCUAAAUACGUGCCAGCAGCCGCGGUAAUACGUAUGUCGCAAGCGUUAUCCGGAUUUAUUGGGUGUAAAGCGCGUCUAGGCGGAAAAAUAAGUCUGAUGUUAAAAUGCGGGGCUCAACUCCGUAUUGCGUUGGAAACUGUUUUUCUAGAGUACUGGAGAGGUGGGCGGAACUACAAGUGUAGAGGUGAAAUUCGUAGAUAUUUGUAGGAAUGCCGAUGGAGAANUCAGCUCACUGGACAGAUACUGACGCUAAAGCGCGAAAGCNUGGGGAGCAA
rnacentral:rRNA from 1 species